CGUCUAUGCACAAACCGGCAGCGGCGGCGGCGGAGCUUGGAAGAGGCAGGGAGAUUCCAAAUAAAUCCGCUAAUUCUGGGCUGAGCGCUCCGGCGUGCGAGCCCGCCUGCCUGCCAAAUGUAACUGUGAAGUGAUGUGGAAAAGUGAGCCGGGUGCCUCCCCUGACGGAUCUCAUUGGGCAGAGCGCAGAGGCAGGUCUACCACUUGGAAAUUCAUGUAAGCAGUCCCCCCUCCCCGCCCCCUCCCCGCCUUCCCCCUUCGCUCUCGCGCGCUGGCUCGAUCGCUCUCUUUCCCCCUACCCAAGUGGGCGCACAACUUUUCUCUCCUCGCUCCCGAGCACGCCCCGCGCGUCUCUGCCGCCAGAGCCACGGGGUGAAGAUGCGCCCUUCCGCGCGGUGCGGGCAGCCUGCCGAGGGCCGAGCUCCUGGAUAAGGGGGCUGGCAGAUGAUAACAGCAUGCGGAGGAGUUUAUGCAUAUGGACAUCUUGCUUGACCUCCAAGAUCCAGUCUGCUGAUGAGGCGACUACUAUAAGAAUUAUUUGCAAUCUCUGCCCAUCCACAAACUCUCCACCCUGACUACUGUACUUAGAGCACUCUGCAGUAUUUUCCAGAUGUCUGUAAUCUGUCCUGUCACACCUACGAAGAGAUCUGGGAAAACAGGGAACCCGUAUGAUUUUAACUAAGUAUGAACUACACGCAAGGCAAUAUGCAGUAAGGAAAAUAAAAUAUCUUGAAGGACUGGGAAAUGAUAAGUGACUGACAGUGUUUAAAUUGUGUGGAUGGUGUACCUAUAGCUUAAGUCAAACAAAGUUUGUCCCACUAGAUUUUCACAUGUAAUAUAGUGAAUAGAGAAGAUAUGAGUGAAUAAUUUCCUCACAGUGUAUAAUUUCUUCAGCCUGACAUCCACAGCCUUUAUAAUCUGCCUCCAAAUUCCUUUUACUAACCAAUCUCUCAUACCCUCUGUGUGAAACUUUCUGUCCACUCACUCUGAACUUAGUGCUUUGGUUUACUAGAUUUUUUAAAAAUUUUUUUGACUAUGGCGGUUAUUGCAGAUACCUCUUGCCAUGCUGUAACCAUAGCAGACCCUUCUAAUUGAUUGUGACUGAGUAUGGAAGCAUUUUUAAGAUUCAUUUCAGGGCAGCACUUAAGACAGCCACUAAAAAUCAUUCAGAAUUUGACAUUUAGAUUAAGUUCCUUUGCCAAAUAAGCUUGCAUGCUUCCUUCAGCUUGAAAUGGCCAACUUCAUCAGUCUCAUCAUUAGGAAUCCUGCUAAUUCACGUCCUCCAUGAAAAUGUCCUGAUUUCCUCAAUUCAUGGGGAGUUACCCCCUCAGACCUAAUGUAUCACAGGUCGACAACUUUUAGAAAAUCCUUCUCAUUUGUUCCCUAGUCUGGUUCCUUAGCUGUUGCAGUCACGGCCACGUUUUUGCAUGACAUUACCUGUCUACUCCUUUGCGGGAUAGAAAUGCUCUUCACAUUCCUUGUGGCACUCAUAUAAGCCUGGCACUUAGUAGGAGUUCAGAGAAACUGGAAUAACAGAGAUAACCAACUGAUGGGUGGGGAAAAAGCAAACCCGAAGAGAUGCUGAUCAAAUUUAGUAUAAACCAAGACAAUGGAAAGUGAAGAGAGAGUGGAUUGACAGCGCCAUUAUGUAAGUUAAUUUGUUCUAAGAUGUCAAGACCUUCUUGGCUUUUCCUGGCUUUCAAUCUGCAUGAACACCUUGUCCUGCAGACAGACAGACAGCUUCAGGGUGGAUUAAAUAAUCAGCCAAGUGAGAAGAGCAUCUCCCAAUAUGUCUGCAAAAACACUUCUACUUCAAGAAUGAUUAUUAAAAGCCACAAGGAAGGCAGUGAUAACACAGUUGAAACAUUGACUUACUGAUCAAAAGAGACACUAAUACGCACUCCUUAAGGGAAACAGUUAGAUUUUAACAUGCAUACAAGCAAAUCCCUUUGCUCCUUUUCCAUUCUGCAUUGUCACACAAAAAUCCCAUUUCUGAUACUCUCAUUUUGGCUCACAGCUUUUCUGCAAAUAGUUUAAUUUGUGCUCUGUUUUGUCUUCUUUCCUUCCUUGCUUUCCUGCUUCUUUCCCUUUCUUUCUUAUUUUUCUCUUUCUUUCUUUCUUUUGUUCUUUUCAUCUAUUUUAGCAGAACUAUUUUUCUUUAGUUUCUAUUUCUUUUUAGUAUCACUCUGUCUUUUGCUUUCUACCUUCGUUUAUUUCUUUUUUGAUUACAUUCAGA
rnacentral:lncRNA from 1 species